UAUUGGACAAUGGGCGAAAGCCUGAUCCAGCAAUGCCGCGUGAGUGAUGAAGGCCUUAGGGUCGUAAGCUCUUUUACCAGGGAUGAUAAUGACAGUACCUGGAGAAUAAGCUCCGGCUAACUCCGUGCCAGCAGCCGCGGUAAUACGGAGGGAGCUAGCGUUGUUCGGAAUUACUGGGCGUAAAGCGUACGUAGGCGGUUAUUCAAGUCAGAGGUGAAAGCCCGGGGCUCAACCCCGGAACUGCCUUUGAAACUAGGUAGCUAGAAUCUUGGAGAGGUCAGUGGAAUUCCGAGUGUAGAGGUGAAAUUCGUAGACAUUCGGAAGAACACCAGUGGCGAAGGCGACUGACUGGACAAGUAUGACGCUGAGUACGAA
rnacentral:rRNA from 1 species